rnacentral:rRNA from 1 species
UACGUAGGGUCCGAGCGUUGUCCGGAAUUACUGGGCGUAAAGAGCUCGUAGGUGGUUUGUCGCGUUGUUCAUGAAAACUCACAGCUCAACUGUGGGCGUGCGGGCGAUACGGGCAGACUAGAGUACUGCAGGGGAGACUGGAAUUCCUGGUGUAGCGGUGGAAUGCGCAGAUAUCAGGAGGAACACCGGUGGCGAAGGCGGGUCUCUGGGCAGUAACUGACGCUGAGGAGCGAAAGCGUGGGGAGCGAACAGG